rnacentral:lncRNA from 1 species
AAACACAUGGAAAUAGUACGGCAAACUUCUGCUUGACAAUUUUGCAUGAGUUUUGCUUCAUACACCAUAAACUUUAUAGAGUUUCUCUAGCCAUGCAACCUGGAUUAAAGAGAAUACAAGGUCAGAUAGGGGGAAACACCUAGUUUUAACUGCACUUCAAUUUUGCAAUAGCCUUACAGCGUUUACCUUCCAUGUGCAACAAGAUGGAUAUACCUUCAGUAUGGAAGACGUGGAGAGAGCAUCAUUACAGCUUGCAGGAUAGAUUAUAGAUUUACCGCACUACAUACCUGCCAUUCUUUUUCUAACAAGUUGU